UGGAGGCAGCAGUGGGGAAUUUUGCGCAAUGGGGGAAACCCUGACGCAGCAACGCCGCGUGGAGGAUGAAAUCCCUUGGGAUGUAAACUCCUUUCGAUGGGGAAGAUUAUGACGGUACCCAUAGAAGAAGCCCCGGCUAACUUCGUGCCAGCAGCCGCGGUAAUACGAGGGGGGCAAGCGUUGUUCGGAAUUAUUGGGCGUAAAGGGUGCGUAGGCGGUCUGACAAGUCUGAUGUGAAAUCUAUGGGCUCAACCCAUAGUCUGCAUCGGAAACUGUCGGGCUUGAGUAUGGGAGAGGUGAGUGGAAUUUCCGGUGUAGCGGUGAAAUGCGUAGAUAUCGGAAGGAACACCUGUGGCGAAAGCGGCUCACUGGACCAUUACUGACGCUGAGGCACGAAAGCUAGGGGAGCAAACAGGAUUAGAUACCCUAGUAGUCC
rnacentral:rRNA from 1 species